CAAGUCGAACGAGAAAGUGGAGCAAUCCAUGAGUACAGUGGCGUACGGGUGAGUAACACGUGGGUAAUCUACCUCUUAGUGGGGAAUAACCGAGGGAAACCUUGGCUAAUACCGCAUAAGCCUGAGAAGGGAAAGCAGCAAUGCGCUGAGAGAGGAGCCCGCGGCUGAUUAGCUAGUUGGUGGGGUAAGAGCCUACCAAGGCAGAGAUCGGUAGCCGGCCUGAGAGGGCACACGGCCACACUGGCACUGAAACACGGGCCAGACUCCUACGGGAGGCAGCAGUGGGGAAUCUUGCACAAUGGGGGAAACCCUGAUGCAGCGACGCCGCGUGAGCGAUGAAGCCCUUCGGGGUGUAAAGCUCUUUCGUCAGGGAAGAUAAUGACGGUACCUGGAGAAGCAGCUGCGGCUAACUACGUGCCAGCAGCCGCGGUAAUACGUAGGCAGCAAGCGUUGUUCGGAGUUACUGGGCGUAAAGGGUGUGUAGGCGGUUCUUUAAGUUUGGUGUGAAAUCUCCCGGCUCAACUGGGAGGGUGCGCCGAAUACUGAGGGACUAGAGUACGGGAGAGGAAAGUGGAAUUCCUGGUGUAGCGGUGAAAUGCGUAGAUAUCAGGAGGAACACCGGUGGUGUAGACGGCUUUCUGGACCGACACUGACGCUGAGACACGAAAGCGUGGGUAGCAAACAGGAUUAGAUACCCUGGUAGUCCACGCCCUAAACGAUGCAUAUUUGGUGUGGGCAGUUCAUUCUGUCCGUGCCGGAGCUAACGCGUUAAUAUGCCGCCUGGGGAGUACAGUCGCAAGGCUGAAACUCAAAGGAAUUGACGGGGGCCCGCACAAGCGGUGGA
rnacentral:rRNA from 1 species